AAAGAAAGAGGGAGGCAUGCCUAACACAUGCAAGUCGAACGAGACCUUCGGGUCUAGUGGCGCACGGGUGCGUAACGCGUGGGAACCUGCCCUUAGGUUCGGAAUAACUCCCCGAAAGGGGUGCUAAUACCGGAUAAUGUCUUCGGACCAAAGAUUUAUCGCAUUUGGAUGGGCCCGCGUUGGAUUAGCUAGUUGGUAGGGUAAAAGCCUACCAAGGCGACGAUCCAUAGCUGGUCUGAGAGGAUGAUCAGCCACACUGGGACUGAGACACGGCCCAGACUCCUACGGGAGGCAGCAGUGGGGAAUAUUGGACAAUGGGCGAAAGCCUGAUCCAGCAAUGCCGCGUGAGUGAUGAAGGCCUUAGGGUUGUAAAGCUCUUUUACCCGGGAUGAUAAUGACAGUACCGGGAGAAUAAGCUCCGGCUAACUCCGUG
rnacentral:rRNA from 1 species